UUCUUGGAAGCGAAACAGUGCAUGUAUAUAUAAGGGGGAUGAUUCACUUGUGGCACAUUAAUCCACAGCACCAUGAAGCCUGCAAUACUUGUCCUCGUUCUUAGCCUCUCCGUUCUUGUGGCAGCCGACGAAACUCAGGCAGAAGCUGUAACAAUGAGCGAGGUGGUUAAUCCAGAUUUCGAGCACCCACACAGCUUCGGGAAAAGGUUGACUGAUGACCCAAAUGAGAACAACGACGACGGGGAUUCUGGUGUGAGGUAUGAGAGGAAAUUCUAGAACUGCUGUGAGGAUCUCAAGUGACGGAAGAAAGUGACGGAGACUCUUCGGGAAACUUGGGUAAAUCCAUCGAUAAAUUUACUCGUAGAACACAAAAUAUAGAAGGUUAAACAGAAAAAAAAAACAAGAUAGAAAAUCAAGUAAGAUCGGCAAGGAAAUUGUAUAGAUUUAGUUUAUUAUGUAAACAGGUAGUAUAUUUUUGUUUCUGGAAGGUCAUGUAAAUCCGUCUCCAACCAUUUUCUUUUCAGAGUAACAGUUGAACAAGACACAAUUUAGUCGUAAAAACUGACUCGUAAAUGUGCCAAAUUUGUAACUGCAUUAUGUGUGAAUAUGAUAGGAAGAAAAUGUGAUAAUAAAGUAAUGAAAGUUAACCUUACUUUUCGACCUUUAUUUGCAUUCUUAUUUUGCAAUAAUAUUUUUUAAGGAAUGUUUGUGCUUCUGACUUCAAUCUUCGGAAAUCAGAUACGGUUAUUGUUAUGAAGCAAUACCGUUAUCGUUAUUGAUCGCAGCUAUUGUUAUGAAUAUCGAAUAAUUAGACCUCUAAAAGAGAAAAUGUAUUGCUAUCGUUGUUUCGACGUGGAAAGUAUAGGAAUUCUCACACGUGAUCUGCCGCUGAUCAUAUCGCGGUCAAAUUAUUGAAAAAAAAAAAAGAAAAAAAAGAGAGAGAGAGAAAAAAUAUGAAAUGAAAAUGUUACAUUUGUUAAAUUCUCCACACUGUAGUAAUUUAUUUUGUAUAUGAUAAGUCCGCGAUGAAAAGCUGAGCUUCGCCCGGCCUGCGUCCAUGAGGGGAGCCCGGACUGUGUCGACUUAUGCUGACUCGCUAACGUCUGUCAGCUAACUCGGCUGACACACUGUGCCCAUCCACAGCAGUAACCUCCAGGCGACAAUUGCAACUUUUCGCGCCAGGUCGGGGUGCGAACCGCCGACCGCUCGGAUGAGAGGCCGACACGUUACCACUAUAUUAACCCAGAGGCUUUUUAUAAAUGAAAACUUCAGCCGUUAUAUUAACAAUUAGUAAGGUACGGAUUACAACAUCCUUUGAAAUUAAUUACUAAAGUUUUUUUUUCAUCCGCUUCGGAAAUGUAUCCACAUGUAUGGAUAAAAAGAAUGGAAAUUAUUCUGAAACUGAUAGAAAGAAAAAUAGAUGGAUAGAUAAACACACAUAAUUAGAGAAAUGCCGAGUGCUACGUAAAGGCUAAAGUUUACAUGUGAUAACUGCACAAUAUAUAUAACUUUACUAUAUCCGACAUUUAUACACACUUGCACCACAGCAGUGCUUACGUGAAAAUAUCAACUAUAUACUAAAAUAGCUUUUUAAAUGCGCCCCUCGUUAUAUUAUUGAGAUGUUUCUAUAAAUACUAUUUUGGAUCCAUACAUAUUUCUACUGCACAGUACCUCAUUCCGUUGAGAAACCAGCUCUCAUUUUUUACGUUAAAAAAAAAAAGGAUUUAACUGGUUUCGCAUAUCUUCUGGUGUAAUGGCUUUGUUCGUACUUCGCCUAGGGAAGGUCGGAAGUUACAGGACAGGGCUUCCUAUAUGAUGCUCUUCUUGCUCCUCUUGAUUUCACCUCUCCAGAUUAGAAAUAGCCUGUCCUUAUUUCAGUUUCUACUUUGUUUAGCGAUUAUCAUUUUGCCUUUACGCAAACACUGUCCACUUCCACUUAGUUUCCUUAAAAAUUAAACUUCAGUCUGUUCUUUCCUGUUCCUCUUUCGUAACCAUGUAAUUAAUAUUGGAGUUAUUUUGUUUUAUUUUGCUUGCUUUCUCACAUAUUUGGUGAUGUGUGUUGAGGCUAAAAGGCAAUGACUAUAGAUUUUAAGUGCAAUGUAAUAACGACUUGUUGCUUUUAAUGGUGAUAUUCAAUUUACCAAAAGCUUUCCAAUCCUUCCGAAAUUCUAAAAAUUGAUUUUGACCUUUUACCCUGGCAGAAUUUUCAUUUUGUGUUCGGCUCUUUUUCCGUAAUUAUUAUUCGUUCUCUUUUAUUGUAUUUACAUAUUUUUCACGUCAUCCAUUUCCUUUAUAUUAUUGAAUUGACCAAUUCCAUAUCUCCCUUAGGUCUUGUAUCCAUGUUUCUCCUCUUCUCUAAACCCAAUUUCAUUUUAUAGGUAUUUUAUUUGGCAAGUGUUUAUGACGGAACUAAAUUAAUUAGCAGAGUUCAUGAUGUUUUUCAGUAUAUUUAAUUUCAUACAUUUUCAAUUUCUACGUUUUCUGAUGCUUGGAGUAUAAUGUUAUUAUGGAAAGUCGGUUGUACUACUAUCUCGAAUUACAUUUAUGUAAAUUCAGUCAUUUCAACAUCAACUCAUAUUUUCCGCACACAGAGUUAUAUUGCAUUGUAAUAGAAACGAUAUGAAUUAGAAUGACUAUCAUUCUCAUUAAUACCUUAGCUACAUUUAUCAACCAGAAUACGCUUCAUUGUAUUGCUCAUUUACCUGAGGUCACCGCCGUUAUUUGCAAUUACGUUAGUUAUUAUUUGACAUCACAAACUGUCUCUCACUCUUAAAUCUGCCAUUUGGGCUGAUUCAUGCUAACUUCUUUAUGGUUGAAUGCAUGUUUAUCUUUUUUUUUUUCUUUGGCGCUCAUGUAAGGGCAAUCGUGCCAUCUUCCCUGUCUCAGCAUUGUUUGCAUAACUAAGCUAUUCUUGGAAGCGAAACAGUGCAUGUAUAUAUAGGGGGAAUAAUUCACUUGUGGCACAUUAAUCCACAGCACCAUGAAGCCUGCAAUAAUUGUCCUCGUUCUUAGCCUCUCCGUUUUUGUGGCAGCCGACGAAACUCAGGCAGAAGCUGUAACAAUGAGCGAGAUGGUUAAUCCAGAUUUCGAGCACCCACACAGCCUCAGGAAAAGGUUGACUGAUGACCCAAAUGAGAACAACGACGACGGGGAUUCUGGUGUGAGGUAUGAGAGGAAAUUCUAGAACUGCUGUGAGGAUCUCAAGUGACGGAAGACUCUUCGGGAAACUUGGGUAAAUCCAUCGAUAAAUUUACUCGUAGAACACAAAAUAUAGAAGGUUAAACAGAAA
rnacentral:lncRNA from 1 species